AAAUGUGACACAGCCCUGAACACUUCACCUUGUGCUCUGGUCCUGGGCACUUGUACCCCCACCCCACCUCACACACACCCCACGUACACACACACACCACCUCACACACACACACACCACCUCACACACACACACACACCACCUCACACACACACACACCCACACACAAACACACCACCUCACACACACACACACCACCUCACACACACACACCCCACACACACAAAACACACCACCUCACACACAUACACAUACCACCUCACACAAACACACACCACCUCACACACACACCACCUCAACAUACACACACACCCCACCUCACACACACCCCACAUACACACACACACCACCUCACACACCCACACACAAAACACACCAUCUCACACACACACACAUACCACCUCACACACACCCCACAUACACACACACACCACCUCAACAUACACACACACCCCACCUCACACACAUCCCACAUACACACACACACCACCUCAACAUAAACACACACCCCACCUCACACACAUACACACCACCUCACAGACCACCUCAACAUUCACACACACCCCCACAUACACACACACACCACCUCACACACACACACACACACACACACACACAAACACACCACCUCACACACACACACCACCUCAACAUACACACACACCCCACCUCACACACACCCCACAUACACACACACCACCUCAACAUACACACACACCCCACCUCACACACACCCCACAUACACACACACCACCUCAACAUACACACACACACCACCUCAACAUACACACACACACCACCUCAACAUACACACACACCCCACCUCACACACAUACACACACCCCACCUCACACACACACACACCACCUCACACACACACACACCACCUCACACACACAAACACACCACCUCAACAUUCACACACCCCCCACAUACACACACACACCACCUCAACAUAAACACAUACACCACCUCUCACACACACACACACACCACUUCACACACACACACACCACCUCAACAUACACACACACCCCACAUACACACACACACCACCUCAACAUAAAUACACAUACUCCACCUCACACACACACCCCACACAAUACUCACACACACCACAUAACACACACCACCUCAACAUACACACACCCCACACAAUACUCCUCACACACAACACAUACACACACCACCACAACAUACACACACCUCCCACACACAUAUUCUUCACACAUAAACACACACACACUAUACACUCUUAUACGCCCCCACCUAUCAGGCACACAGACCGUAGAGAACACACAGUUACCACAUACGCACACACCUCAACACACACAUACACGCACCCCCACACAUUGCAAAUAUGCCACAUUAUAUAUCACACACACAUUAUACCACAUACUACACACACACACCCCACACCAUACAUACCAGCAUGCAACACACACACAUACCCAAGCCAAAAGCCUGUUUUGGGGAGUAGUAACUGGUAAUUUGUUUUUGCCCGAGGACGAGCCUCACAGGUAA
rnacentral:lncRNA from 1 species